rnacentral:ncRNA from 1 species
UGGUUCCGCUUGAUCGAUUGAAAGGGCGGAUGAAAAGGGAAUACGGUGAGGCGUACUCAUCAGAGGCUAAAACCGAAGCUGCCCCCGCAACUGUAAGCGUUUUCCACUCAAAAACAGAGCUAGGUAAUGAACGUGAGCCAGGAUACCUGCCACAUUUC